rnacentral:rRNA from 3 species
AGAGUUUGAUCCUGGCUCAGGAUGAACGCUGGCGGCGUGCCUAAUACAUGCAAGUCGAGCGAACGGACGAGAAGCUUGCUUCUCUGAUGUUAGCGGCGGACGGGUGAGUAACACGUGGAUAACCUACCUAUAAGACUGGGAUAACUUCGGGAAACCGGAGCUAAUACCGGAUAAUAUUUUGAACCGCAUGGUUCAAAAGUGAAAGACGGUCUUGCUGUCACUUAUAGAUGGAUCCGCGCUGCAUUAGCUAGUUGGUAAGGUAACGGCUUACCAAGGCAACGAUGCAUAGCCGACCUGAGAGGGUGAUCGGCCACACUGGAACUGAGACACGGUCCAGACUCCUACGGGAGGCAGCAGUAGGGAAUCUUCCGCAAUGGGCGAAAGCCUGACGGAGCAACGCCGCGUGAGUGAUGAAGGUCUUCGGAUCGUAAAACUCUGUUAUUAGGGAAGAACAUAUGUGUAAGUAACUGUGCACAUCUUGACGGUACCUAAUCAGAAAGCCACGGCUAACUACGUGCCAGCAGCCGCGGUAAUACGUAGGUGGCAAGCGUUAUCCGGAAUUAUUGGGCGUAAAGCGCGCGUAGGCGGUUUUUUAAGUCUGAUGUGAAAGCCCACGGCUCAACCGUGGAGGGUCAUUGGAAACUGGAAAACUUGAGUGCAGAAGAGGAAAGUGGAAUUCCAUGUGUAGCGGUGAAAUGCGCAGAGAUAUGGAGGAACACCAGUGGCGAAGGCGACUUUCUGGUCUGUAACUGACGCUGAUGUGCGAAAGCGUGGGGAUCAAACAGGAUUAGAUACCCUGGUAGUCCACGCCGUAAACGAUGAGUGCUAAGUGUUAGGGGGUUUCCGCCCCUUAGUGCUGCAGCUAACGCAUUAAGCACUCCGCCUGGGGAGUACGACCGCAAGGUUGAAACUCAAAGGAAUUGACGGGGACCCGCACAAGCGGUGGAGCAUGUGGUUUAAUUCGAAGCAACGCGAAGAACCUUACCAAAUCUUGACAUCCUUUGACAACUCUAGAGAUAGAGCCUUCCCCUUCGGGGGACAAAGUGACAGGUGGUGCAUGGUUGUCGUCAGCUCGUGUCGUGAGAUGUUGGGUUAAGUCCCGCAACGAGCGCAACCCUUAAGCUUAGUUGCCAUCAUUAAGUUGGGCACUCUAAGUUGACUGCCGGUGACAAACCGGAGGAAGGUGGGGAUGACGUCAAAUCAUCAUGCCCCUUAUGAUUUGGGCUACACACGUGCUACAAUGGACAAUACAAAGGGCAGCGAAACCGCGAGGUCAAGCAAAUCCCAUAAAGUUGUUCUCAGUUCGGAUUGUAGUCUGCAACUCGACUACAUGAAGCUGGAAUCGCUAGUAAUCGUAGAUCAGCAUGCUACGGUGAAUACGUUCUCGGGUCUUGUACACACCGCCCGUCACACCACGAGAGUUUGUAACACCCGAAGCCGGUGGAGUAACCUUUUAGGAGCUAGCCGUCGAAGGUGGGACAAAUGAUUGGGGUGAAGUCGUAACAAGGUAGCCGUAUCGGAAGGUGCGGCUGGAUCACCU